rnacentral:rRNA from 1 species
UUGUUGGAGAGUUUGAUCCUGGCUCAGGACGAACGCUGGCGGUGCGCCUUAUGCAUGCAAGUUGAGCGAAGCUUUUUGGUAGUUUACUACUAGAAAUGACUGAGCGGCGAACGGGUGAGUAACGCGUGAGCAAUCUACCUUAGUUACUGGGAUAGCCCGAGGAAACUCGGAUUAAUACCGGAUAUUCUUAUUUUUUCACAUGAAGUUUUAAGGAAAGGUCAGCCGAACUAAGAUGAGCUCGCGUUCUAUCAGCUAGUUGGUGGGGUAA